ensembl:snoRNA
GGGCAUUCGUAACCCUCCUGGCAGCUUCGCUCCUAGCACCCAGGAUAAGAAUGAAUGCCAGAGAAAACUGUUGAUUUAUCCAAAAUGUGGAGCUCUUAUCCUGUGGCUCUUCAUUAUUUCAUGUCUUCAACAUUA